rnacentral:tRNA from 1 species
GCGAUUAUAGUAUAAUGGUAUUAUAUCUGGUUGCCAACCAGAUGAUAUGGGUUCAAUUCCCAUUAAUCGCUCAA